GUCAUAUAGCAUAAUUUGUUUUCUACUAAAAAAUCUUGGUUGAAAUUGAAAUAUAAAAUAUUAGAAAUAAAAAAAAACGUACAGAAUUUAUAUGAAGUAUGAACCAUUCACUACAACAGAAUUAGGUUAUAGGGACACUUGUUUGGGACACUUUUGAGUAAGUGUCUCAUUUAUGCUAAAACUUAAAAAAACAUCUACUUAUGCCUAAAUAUAAAGCCCAAUCCAACCAAAAAUAAAAGAUUACUCUACUCAACCCACCACACCCAGUCCAUUUGGCCUUAUUACAAACAGAAAAGAAAAAAAAAAGAAUAAUCAAUUACCAUCUUUUCUUCUCUCUUCACUCAAUCCACUGAAAUUCUAGACGAAGAGCCUUUCCUGUCGUCCUCCUCAGCCACCGCAGCCAACGAGAUAGAGUUUCAGCGGUUGCUAAAUACUUAAAUAAGUGUUGGUAAAUUAGCAGCACUCUUUUAGGCUAUAGCAACACUUUUUAACUAUCACUAUAUACCUAGCGACCCCACAUAUAGCAACACUUUUUAAAAGUGUCGGUAAUUUUAGCUAGCAGCAUUUUUUUGACAUGUACCUAUAUUUAAAAGUGUCGCUAUAAACCGCUUUUGUUGUAGUGAUUUUAAAUUGGCUACCAAUUUUUAAUUUGUGUGAUUCGAGUCAGUCAACGUACUUUGAAUUUGAAAUUUAAGCUAUCUACCACCUUUAAUGAAUUUUUCGAAGAGAGAAAGUGAAGCGAGAGUGAGGACAAAAUAAAAAGAGAAAAGGUGACAGAGAGAAACUAAAAGAGAGAAGAAAAAGAGAUAAGGAAGAGUAAGUAAAGAAAAAUUAAGAGGUAGAAAGAGAGGAAAGAGUGGGGAGAAUGAUGUAAGAAAGAUUCACAUUUUAUCAUAAUGUCUGUAUUAUCUCUUUCACAUCUCUUCACACACUGAUUAAAAAAGU
rnacentral:lncRNA from 1 species